AUGACUUGUGAUAAAACUAUAUUAAUUUCACCAUAAUUACCAUAAAAAAAUCAAAAAUGGAUUAUGGUAAAAC
rnacentral:sRNA from 12 species